rnacentral:rRNA from 1 species
UACGAAGGGGGCUAGCGUUGCUCGGAUUGACUGGGCGUAAAGGGCGCGUAGGCGGUUCGUACAGUCAGACGUGAAAUUCCUGGGCUCAACCUGGGGGCUGCGUUUGAUACUGGCAGGCUUGAAUCCGGGAGAGGGAUGUGGAAUUCCAGGUGUAGCGGUGAAAUGCGUAGAUAUCUGGAGGAACACCGGUGGCGAAGGCGGCAUCCUGGACCGGCAUUGACGCUGAGGCGCGAAAGCUAGGGGAGCAAACGGG